CGCGGUCCACUCCAUCGCUGCCAACCUGCCCUAGCAAGUUAGCAAGGUGCAGGUAUCUCAAGCACUGCCUCCGUACCACAGACAGCAGCAGCUCGUGUUGUUUCAAAGCUGUUAUAGAUAUCAUUGACAAGAGGUAAACUCAAGAUGCCACUACAUUUGGCUGGGUACUGACAGUUGUACUCCAUUGAAGUACUGUUACUAUUAAAUGUGCAAACUGAAUUUGGUGUAGCAGCAUACUGAAUUUGGAGUAUGAAGUAGCUGUAUGGAUUACUGUU